AUGCUGGCCGUCCCUUGUCGGUUCGAAAUGGAAAAGCGAACAACUUUUUACCGUGAUCUGGUACAGAAGUGUCCAAUGAGCUUUCGGCAGCAUUCAUUUCGGAUCUACCCAACCUAUGCUGGAGUAGUUUUUAUUAACCCAUUCUGUCGCCUUGUUCAUCCAGCAUUCCACUCACUUCCACUGCCGCUGCGUGUUCACUCCCUUGGCUUGCCCACUACAUUCUCCACCGAAAAGAAGAGCACAUCGAGCAGGAAGAUGGAUGCCCAGGGCGCGAUCGACUCGCUCCUGGGCCGCCUCACCACCGUCCUUGUCAGCGAGGCGCAGCUGCUGGGCGGCCUCCGCGGUGACGUUGAGUUCAUCAGCGACGAGAUGGAAAGCAUGAACGGCCUGCUCAUGCACCUUGCCGAGUCCCACAACCGCGACAACCAGGUCCGGGCGUGGAUGAAGCAAGUGGCUGGCCUCAGCCGCGACUGCGAGGGCAACGUCGAGCUGUACAUCCAGUACGUCGGAGGUGCUGGUCCCGGCGCCAGAAAGGGCGUCCUGGGCUCCUUGCUUCGGAUGCUUCGCUUUGUGCGGACCAUGUCCGCCCGCCACCGUAUCGCGACGCGGAUCCGGGAGCUCAAGGUCCGGGCCCGUGACGUUGGCGACAGGCGGGAGAGGUAUGGCGUCACUGUCCCGCCGGCACCAUCUCGCACCAUCCCCGAUGCUUCGGCUCCGCAGCCGGGCGGACCUGAGGAGGAGGAGGAUCUGCGAAGACGUGAGUUGCUCUGUGGUGAGGAGGACAUCAACAAGGUCAUUGAGUGUCUCCCCCAAGAGAACUUGAUCUGUAUUGAAGGAGAGGGUAGCGUGGGGAAGACAGAUAUCGCACGGAAGGUGUUCAAUCACCCUUCCGUGGUGACAAAUAUCCGCCACAGGGUUUGGGUCAACAAUGGAGGGCUGAACAGAGAAUAUCACGAGGUACGUAAGGAGAUACUAGAACAACUACAACACAAGAUGAAGAGCUUGAGGGAAAUUGGCAAGCACUCAAGAAUUUCUGAGUAUAUGUCAGAUGGAAACGUUCUAAUCGUUCUUGAUGGUGUCAAUGACCAACCAAAGGACUACAGUUCCCUAAGUUGUUCUGAACUCGAAGCAUUUACAUACAAUGCAGUACCUCUGAGUGUUCAUCUUUCCGCUGGAUUAUACAGUGACUUUCGUCGGAGAGAUGUUUAUGUAAUAAUGACCGGAAAUCACUUUUAUAAUGACCACAUACGCACAGGAUAUUAUGCCAAAAAGUUCCGGUGUGAAACUCGUCCGAAUUUUUUCAGAAACAGAGCAUUGGGCCUUGCCAAGUGUGAAGGUUCUGCUGUAUUGGCAGUUUUAACCAAGUGCUACCACGGCACCCUUGCAGCGCACCUGUUCCUUUGUCUACUGUAUGUCAAUCCUCGCAGGGCUACGGCGGAACUGGAAACCUUAUGCCGUGUCCUAGAGGAGAGCAGAAACAAUACUGAUAAGACGAUACUUAUGGUCUGCUACAACGAGCUCCCUGGUCAUCACAAGAGCUGCUUGAUGUGCCUAUCAAUCUUUCCUCAAGGACACAUAAUCAUGAAAGCUGAUCUGCUGAGGAGAUGGGUCUCUGAAGGACUGAUAACCAAAAGAAGCGUUGGGACGAGCACGCUGCAUGAUCAGGCCGAGCGCAUCUCUGACUCACUGGUCACUCGAGGCUUUAUAUGUCCUGGAGAAAUCAGCUCUGCAGGCAAGAUUAAGAGCUUUACAUUGAAUUCCAUUGUUCAUGAUUUCAUCGUUACAGAUGUAGGCUUCGUGGAUACAUCAUCACGGCCUGAGCUAGCUCACCGCUUCUCCAUCAACAGUGGGGUAGCAAUACAGGAAGAAUCUCUUUCUGAGUCUGAUUCCGAUCCAUCCGGCCAUGGCAUCUUAACUACAAUUGAGUCUCUGGCCGAAUCUGGUCAAUGGCAGUUUCUGAAGGUGCUGGAUCUUCGAGGCUGCAAAGGGUUGAAGAAGAAGCAUCUAAACAGUAUUUGCAAGAUACUGCUGCUCAAGUAUUUGAGCCUCAGGAAUACAGAUGUCGCUGAACUGCCGAAGGACAUUGAGAAGUUGCAGUGCCUGCAGACAUUGGAUAUCCGGCAGACGGCGGUACGGGUACUUGCCACAAAAUCUGUUGUGCUUCCAAUGCUAAAGCAUCUGCUUGCUGGGAAGAGAGACUCUCCGACUCCAAGCAACGACUCUGAUACUGAUAGGUUCGAAGAGUCGUUUGCGGUGGUGCGCCUUCCCAGGAGCAUCCGAAGAAUGGAAAAACUUGAGGUGCUCUCCCAUGUUGAAGUUGCCCAUAGUGACGAUCUGACUGACGUCGGCAAGCUGCUACGUCUUAGAAAGCUUGGGGUGAUUCUCCAGGGUAAGAAAGAAGAACUGGAACUUCUGUUCCAGCAGGUUGAAAAAUUGUAUGGUUGCCUCCGCUCCCUGUCAAUCCAGAUGGACCAGCAGACGAAAAGCGAGAGUGGUAAGAUCGGCCUCACCUUGGAUUGCUCAGACAAGGGGCCUCCCAUUGAUUCCCACUAG
rnacentral:rRNA from 1 species